GCCUUGGUGGUGUAGUGGGCAGCACACUCGACGCGUAUUCGAGAAGACCGUGGUUCGAGUCCCGCCGAAGGCG
rnacentral:tRNA from 1 species